rnacentral:rRNA from 1 species
CAUGCAAGUCGAACGAAGCACUUCUGAAUGGAGAUUCGUCAAAGUUCAGAUUUGACUUAGUGGCGGACGGGUGAGUAAUGCAUGAGCAACCUGCCCUGCAGUGGGGGACAACAGUUGGAAACGACUGCUAAUACCGCAUGAUGUAUCUGGAAGGCAUCUUCCGGAUACCAAAGAUUUAUCGCUGUGGGAUGGGCUCAUGUCUGAUUAGUUAGUUGGUGGGGUAACGGCCUACCAAGACUGCGAUCAGUAGCCGGACUGAGAGGUUGAACGGCCACAUUGGGACUGAGAUACGGCCCAGACUCCUACGGGAGGCAGCAGUGGGGAAUAUUGGGCAAUGGGCGAAAGCCUGACCCAGCAACGCCGCGUGAAGGAAGAAGGUCUUCGGAUUGUAAACUUCUUUUAUGAGGGACGAAGGAAGUGACGGUACCUCAUGAAUAAGCCACGGCUAACUACGUGCCAGCAGCCGCGGUAAUACGUAGGUGGCAAGCGUUGUCCGGAUUUACUGGGUGUAAAGGGCGCGUAGGCGGGAUGGCAAGUCAGAUGUGAAAUCCAUGGGCUCAACCCAUGAACUGCAUUUGAAACUGUAGAUCUUGAGUGUCGGAGGGGCAAUCGGAAUUCCUAGUGUAGCGGUGAAAUGCGUAGAUAUUAGGAGGAACACCAGUGGCGAAGGCGGAUUGCUGGACGAUAACUGACGGUGAGGCGCGAAAGUGUGGGGAGCAAACAGGAUUAGAUACCCUGGUAGUCCACACUGUAAACGAUGAA